GAGGCCUAUCUAGCUCCCCUCCUCUCUGACCUUCUGAAGGAACAACUCCUAUUCAACGUGGGCCUGAGCACUCUUAACCCUACCGGUAUUAUUAUUAUCAUUUUUUUUCGCUACUUUUUCUCUCUCUUUUUCUAUUUUUGAGCCAUGCCGAUCUUCUUUUAUUGCAGACAUGGACACAGACGUGGCUCAGAGGUUAGCCCA
rnacentral:lncRNA from 1 species